rnacentral:lncRNA from 1 species
GGGCUUGAUCAGAGGCUUCUUCUCCCAAGAUGGAUAAAUGAAUUAGGGUUUCUCUUCUCUUCUCCUCCAGGGGCCAGGGGGUCUGCUUAUAUAGUCCUUCGAAAUGAAUGUGGGCCGUCGGAUCAAACCGACAUUAAUCGCACAGUUUUCCUUAAUCCCUUAGGUCGGUGGAGCAUGAUCCGCGAGGUGGAGUUUGAUUGGCCCUCAGGUCAGGGCAGGCGCCCAAGGGGGAGGGCGGGCGCCCUGCCCCUGGGUCCGCUCGGUCUCCCGCUCGUUCCCGUGGCUUCUGGACUCUUCUAGAUGUUGGAUAAUUGCGGUGCACGUUAAUAUCUUUAUGUAAACCCAAUGUGUGGGCCUUUCUUCCAUAAUUCCUGAUAACCCCCUGC